UUAAAGCUCCUCCUAACACACGCAUGUUGAAUGUUGGGAAGCAAGAAAAUUGUGGUGUGUACUGUAUUACUGCCCUCCACAUGUUUGUUGUUGUGUUUCUUAGAAUUGAAGCUAUUUUUCUAUGCUUCUGUGGUGAUCUGUCAUGUAGGUUGCACGAAUCGUUGCCUUCAUCUGUUUAUUCCGCUACAUCAGUUAACCUUCCUUUUUGUUAGCCUACAUGUACUACAUGCAUUAAUAGGUUUAGGGGCGGUGAUUUUGGUCUUAAGGAUUUAAAUGAUAUUUUGUUAUUUUUCUCACAAUGUAGGCCUGAACCUGGCUCAAGAAGAUUAAGGUAACUAAUUGAGAUGAACACUGUUUCGUUUUCAUUUUUUCCAAUCAUUGUCUGCUGAAAAUAAUCACUGCUAUUUGAUUUGAGACAUACUGAUGGUAUGACAGGUAUGACAGCUAACAUAAAAAGUAGGAUUGUCGUUCUGCCCAGAUGGUAGUGUAUCCUACCUUACACAUGUUAAUGCCAGCAUACCAUUAGCUGACCUUUCCUCUUUGUUGGACUAGGUGUAUGCCAUGAAUCUAGAGGUUUACUGGGGAUGAUGUUGAUCUUGAGGACUUAAAUAACAUUUUGGCUUUCUUCUACUGAUGUAGAAAUGAAAUUGGCAGAGUGAGGGUAGUAUGCGUGUUACCGUGGAGCAACUCUGUGUAGACCAAAGCAAAGAGCACAGUCAGAAGAGCAGCUGUGAAAUCAUGGAGAACUUUUCCGCAGGAUUGUGGCUAGGGGCAACUACAAGAUUGAGAUCAUGUUGUUCAGCCUGGAGAUUAAACUGAACUACAUGCAAGUGCAUUCAUGGUGUCCAUCUUUAAUUUGAGGCACUCACCAAAAGCAUGGGUGAAGGAAGUUGCUUGGAUGCAUUGAGAUCUCCAGAGAGAAAUAAACGAGCAGCAGUACCUAGGGGAGCAAGGGUUGGGCACGCCGAGAAGCUGGAGCUUCAGCUUGGCCUGAAGGCAACAAGGAUGGUGGCCAGGUCGUGCUGCGUCGCCUCUGCAUGAUCAGCAUGAUCACUAAGAGGAAUCAGUAGAAUCGGGAAAGAAGAGCCCCGAUCUCUCUAAAGAGCUGCCCAAUGGUAUAACAUGCAGACCUUGGUGAUUUGUUCUUGGAUUGGAUUUGAAGGUAGAAGACUAUGAGGUUUGCUCUCGCCUGGGAGGGGAAUGAAAAAGAAGUCCUGCAGAGUGGGUCGCCUUAGAGUGGUAAUAAAAAACAAGAGCAUGAGUUUGCCAAGCGGUAGUCAGUAGGUACAGACCUAAGGCCUAAGCGACAGCGAUCCUCCACAUGUCCCUUAUACUUGGGUGUGGUUAUCCAGAUCAGCUUUAGCUAGCUCCACGACAAACACCUGAGUGUAUUUUUGUUUUUCAGAGCCCAAUCACCGAACAAAUUGAAUUAAAGAGCACAUACACAAUCUACAGGCAGCCCGCCCAAACUGGGACCUACAAAUUUUUAUGACUGUAAAAAAGGGUAUCCAACCAGCUGUUCAAG